CGUAGGGUGCGAGCGUUAAUCAGAAUUACUGGGCGUAAAGCGUGCGCAGGCGGUUUUGUAAGCCAGAUGUGAAAUCCCCGGGCUUAACCUGGGAAUGGCAUUUGGGACUGCAAGGCUGGAGUAUGGCAGAGGGGACUAGAAUUCCUGGUGUAGCAGUGAAAUGCGUAGAUAUCAGGAGGAAUACCGAUGGCGAAGGCAGGUCCCUGGGCCAAUACUGACGCUCAUGCACGAAAGCGUGGGGAGCAAACAGGAUUAGAUACCCUGGUAGUCCACGCCCUAAACGAUGUCAACUGGUUGUUGGGGGAUUUAUUCUCUUAGUAACGAAGCUAACGCGUGAAGUUGACCGCCUGAGGAGUACGGUCGCAAGAUUA
rnacentral:rRNA from 1 species